AAAAAAAAAAAAAAAAAGAGGAUAAAAUUUAGGACUCACUAUACGGACGGAAAUUGAAGGGAAAAAUCUCUGGAAGGUGAAGCCAUAAAAGCUGCAUAUAAACACCACAUACAUCCUUGUCUGAUGUCUAAUCUACAUAUGCAUCAUGAUUUUAAGGCGAAUGCCAUAGCUGGAAGACUGAAACAACUGAGCAGAGGUUCCAACUUUUUUCAAUUAGCAACCUAAAAUGACAUGGUUAUAUGGGGGACUCUGGGAAGAUCUACACUGAGAACAUGAACACGGCAACGUGGGGUACCUCAAAAAUUGAGAAAAGGCUCAAUAGAGUUGAGUGUCUCCCCUUCUCCUCAAAACAUACAUUCCAUCA
rnacentral:lncRNA from 1 species